GUGUCAAGACCCUGGGUCAGGCCGUGUGGUGGACAGGAGAGUGCUAUACUGCUGUAAUCACACUCUUCCCGGAGCAAGUUCACCUGCUACAUACGGCGCCUCGCAAACUCUUUGUCACCGGACCGCCCGGUACAGGUAAAACUGUGGUGCUGGUAUUGAAAGGUGAAGAAUGGUUGCGAUGUGGCGAAGACGUCUACCUUGUGAGUACGUGGUUAGGGGGUCGUGCCUCAUCCCUUUUGAUGAAUCAUUUGUUGGCUACCUACGUGUCCACACAAAAGUCAGCAGGUAAACCAGCUGGUCAGCUUCGCCUCCUCCACUAUGAUUUUAGUGGAGUAAAGAUGUAGAGAAGGCUGGAAGAGUUGUCGGAGGCGGCAAGAGGAGACAAAUUGUACGUCAUCGCUGAUGAAGCGGGGCCCGAUUCAUGGUAUUUUGAGGAUUUCUGUGCUGAACUGCUGAACCGAGUACCUCAACUACGACUUUGGGCAGCAAGUUGUUUCGCUCGACAGGCACCUGCCGAUUGGAUGGUAGAACACUUAACCAGACCCCUCCGCUCUCCUCCGACCGUCGUCAGGGAAGUUCAGAAGGAUAGAAUGUUCACUAGACGUCUUGUCCAGCAGUACAGUGAGCGUGGUGUGCCCGACCAUACAGAAGGCCCGCCAGUCAAAGAAUUGUAUCAUAGACGUACAGAUCACUCAGGUCACCGUCCAGUUGACUGCAUCACGUGCGGUAAUGAGGUGGCCAGCGUCUUAAAACAACUCGAUGUUAACGUUCGGGGUAACAUCACGGCAGAGCACCACCAGACCUGCAGUGGAGAGACGUUCUGGUACUGUUGGGUGGCGUUAGACCGACUCGGGUAUU